rnacentral:rRNA from 1 species
ACGAUCAACCCCGUGCGAAGCCCUUUCGACGAGUCGAGUUGUUUGGGAAUGCAGCUCCAAAUGGGUGGUAAACUUCAUCUAAAGCUAAAUAUCUGCUGGAGACCGAUAGCGAACAAGUAGAGUGAUCGAAAGAUGAAAAGAACUUUGAAAAGAGAGUGAAACAGUACGUGAAAUUGUUGAAAGGGAAGCGCUUGCAACCAGACUCGCGCGCGGGGUUCAGCCGCCCUCCGGGGCGGUGUACUCCCCGCUCGCGGGCCAGCAUCAGUUCGGACGGCUGGACAAAGGUUCGGGGAACGUAGCUCUCUCCGGGGAGUGUUAUAGCCCCGGGCGCAAUGCAGCCAGUCCGGACUGAGGAUCGCGCUCCGCUAGGAUGCUGGCGUAAUGGUUGCCAGCGACCCGUCUUGAAACACGGACCAAGGAGUUGACCAAUCGGGCGAGUAUUUGGGCGUUAAACCCAGAUGCGUAAUGAAAGUGAACGUGGUGGGAGCCUCCGGGCGCACCAUCGACCGAUCUUGAUGUCUUCGGAUGGAUUUGAGUACGAGCCCGAGUGGUCUGACCCGAAAGGUAUGUUCCCCCGGAAAUGUGCUUGGACGAAUCCCAUGCUAACUGAUCCCCGCAGACGGUGAGCUAUACGUGAAUAGGUGGGUCCCCUUUUCUCCCCCGGUAGGUUGGUUGGCCGUACUAACGAUUACAACAGGGUGAAGUCAGAGGAAACUCUGAUGGAGGCUCGCAGCGGUUCUGACGUGCAAAUCGAUCGUCAAAUUUGCGUAUAGGGGCGAAAGACUAAUCGAACCGUCUAGUAGCUGGUUCCUGCCGAAGUUUCCCUCAGGAUAGCAGUAACGGAGACCAUAGUCUCAUGAGGUAGAGCAACGAUUAGAGGCCUGGGGGGCGCAAUGCCCUUCACCUAUUCUCGAACUUCGAAUAUGUGAGAAGUCCUUGUUACUUAAUU